UACGUAGGAGGCAAGCGUUGUCCGGAAUUACUGGGCGUAAAGCGCGUGUAGGUGGUGGGACAAGUCUGCUGUGAAAGCGCCUGGCUUAACCGGGCGAGGUCGGCGGAAACUGCCCGACUCGAGGACGGUAGAGGGGGGUGGAAUUCCCGGUGUAGUGGUGAAAUGCGUAGAGAUCGGGAGGAACGCCUGUGGCGAAGGCGGCUUUCUGGGCCUUACCUGACGCUGAGACGCGAAAGCGUGGGGAGCGAACCGG
rnacentral:rRNA from 1 species